rnacentral:lncRNA from 1 species
UCAGGUGCCUUUGCUUUCUGUCCUCUCCUCGUCAGCCGUCUGAGCGUUGCUGACAGCGCGAAGCUGCCCCUGGGCUGCAGGCUUCACCGACAGGACCAAGCGUUUGCGGAACGUCUCACAGAGCACGAUGUACACAAAGGGGUUGAGGCAGCUGUUGGCAUAGCCCAAGCUGAUGGCCGCAUUGUAUAAGUAGACAAAGGUGAGGGUCGGGCGGCUGAUGGACAACUGGGUCAGCUGUAGCACAUAGUAGGGUGCCCAGCACACAAAGAAGACCAGACAGAUGGCGAUGGCUGUGCGGGUCACCCUCUUUGUCCGCAGCCGGAUGCUGCGCUGGGAGGCGGGGGCCACUGAGGACGUCAUGCGCUGCAGGAUC